CAGAGUGAUUAGGUGAAAGGAAUGUUUUAUUAAUUUGGGAAAAGGGAAAGAAUAGAAGGGGAAAGGGAAAUGAGUCAGUCGUUCUAAAGCGAUGGGAUGAAGAUACUUAGUUUAAUCAGCAUAGACUCUAAGACCACUGGGCACCUCGCAUAUAAAUAGCUCUCCAUGGCUAAUUAAGGUCAUACGCUGAGAUUCUUGCUUUUGUGUCCUAUUUAAGAAAUCUUUGCCUGCUGCAUCCAAGGUGUGAGCCUUUGGAAUGGUAAUGAGGAAACUGGAGAAAAAUACUGAAUUUUAGUAAUUCCUUCAUAUACAUGCUAAAUAUAAAUAUUCACAAUAUUUUUUAAAUAUUCACAAUAUUAAAGAUGUAUAAUAUGUAAAAUGUUAAACGCGUAAAUAUGUUGAAUAUAUGAGAAAAUGAGCAGUCUAGUAUAAUGCAUUCACAUUGUGUGAAGACUAGCUUAUAAUACCCUAAUAAUGAGCUAAAGAAAAAGAAGUUACUUCCAAGUGAUCUCUUUUUUAAUUUGUAACAAAUUGCUUCAAUCUGCUCUUCCCACAACUUGUUCUGGCAGAGACUCUAGAGUUCAGUCCACUGAGCCUCCAUGAGCACGGCCCUUUAUGUACCAUUCUCCCAGAAACUCCUCCAGGCUGCAGCUUCUCCCGGGAUCCAGAAAGCAACCCCGAGAACCCGUCACAGGAACCCACCUGCGAGGACAGUGUCGUCGCAGCCGAUGACCUUGCACCAGGGCCUCCCAGUGGAAAAGCGACAGAACCCAAAGUCACCGUGGAAGUGGGACCCACGGCGGUAGGACACUGGCACCUGCCCACCUGGCCGCGUGAGAAUCGUGAAGUGACGACACCUCUGGAGGCCUCGAUUUCUCUGUCACCCUCAACACUAAGAGUUUUGGCCCUGCUCCUCUUGCUGAGUCAACGAGAAAGUCUUCAUGGAAAUGAAAACGAGGAGAUGAGUAAGAGAUGUUGAGAUGCCAGCAGCCGGACCACAACUGGUGAGAAGCCAGCCCGGGAGAGGGAAUUAACAUGGGAACAGGUGCAGGCGGGAGAGGUAGGGGUGGGGGGUGGAGGCAGAGACAGUGAGACCCAAUGGUGUUCAAGUUUCCAUCCUAUUUCUUAAGCCUAGCACAUCUGUUAUUACCAUUUUUUUUGUUAUAUAAGUGAAGAAGUUAAAAUGGUGGGAUUUAAAAAAAAAAAAAAAGGGAGAAUCACCACAGUCCUGAAAUUUGGCUGUACAGACAUGAAAUGCUUUUUAUAACUCUAUACUGAAAUCAACCCAAAUCUAGAACCUCUAUAUCCAGGAAUAAGGGUAAACCUUAUCUUGCUUUUUCAAGUAGCUCAUUCAACUAGUCACUCCUGGGUAAAUGCUCAGUCCGAAAUUCAGGGUUCUCCCCUUCACUCUUUGUCAAUCCCACUCUUGGGGAUGAACGAAGGUGCUGGAGAAUCAGGGUACUAAAAGGUAAUUUUUAAAAAUGUGACUCAUAUGAAUAUAAGAUGAAUUCGUGUCCAAGAUUUUAUGUUAUUGAUUAUUUCAUGAAGACACUGGUAAGAGGUAAAAACUGGUUCAAAGGAGAUCACAAGGAAAAACACAUCUAUAGGCAACCCGGAAUCUGAAUUGAAUUUGCUGAGAGAGGCAAAACUGGCCUCUUCCGCUAAGUAGAAACCGAGGCCUCCUCCCUGGACAAAACGCACCUGCGAUUCUUUCUUUCUUUCUUUCUUUCUUUCUUUCUUUCUUUCUUUCUUUCUUUCUUUCUUUCUUUCUUUCUUUUUCUUUCUUUCUUUCUUUCUUUCUUUCUUUUUACACACCUGCGUUUCUAAGAAUGGGAUUAUUCGCAUCAUCAUCAGCCUUUUGCAAGUUACCUUUAGUUUCUAUAGACUUGCGGAAUAGUCCAGGACAGUGAAAGACACAGAGCCUUGUGGAAUCCAGGUAACCCGGGAAGUUUCCAGAGAUUUUGCCUAGAAUUCCGUCUGUACAGUCUAAUCCUCUACACAGGCUCUACAGACUGGCUUACGUACAAGUGACUCUGAAUAACUGAACCUGAGACAGUUCCUGCCAAACGACACAAUUGCUGCCAAACUAAAAAUAUUCCUCCGUUUUCAUACAGUCCCCAAGCUCAAGUCAUGGGCAUCGUGACAACACAAUAACCACCCGAAUUUCUGGGUUUCUCCAUUGAUUUUCAUUGCGGCAGGUUAGCCAGGCACAUUGGUUAGCCCUGCCACAGCCCUUGGCUCCCCACCUUGAGAUGCGUGUGCAGGUGGAGGGCUAGCUCAGGAACUAGGGUUCUGUGAGAGGAGGGACGAGGUUUCAGAUUUCAAACUCAGACAGACUUCUAGCCCCAAGAAGGAAAGCCUGAAAAUCAUGGAAAAAACACCCUUAAAAACCAGCACCCCUGUGGUCUGGCUCCCACCUGCCUCUUCCACACAUUGUGCUUCCAUUUGAAUAUUUCAUCCUGACUUUCCGUGUUAGGAAGCAUGCUGCAUCAUUUUUGGUCCAGAAAAGAUCAAAAAAUGAAAAUAUGCAUGAUCUGAUGGGAUUUCUCCUGAGAACUCAUGGUGGAUUUACUUACUCCCAAUGGAGAGAAAAAUUGGUCAAAUAAGGCAAAUUGAACACUUCACAAGCAGGCGCAAGAUCAGCCUCUUAGCUUCCCACCUCGUGGCUGUGACAGAGGUGGGGACAGAGGCUGAGGGUCAGUAACUGCAAAGGCAAAGCCAAAUGGAGGUGCCGUGCAGACCCAGAUGGAGGGGCGCCAGAUAGAAUUGUAGACCUCAGAGCCGCAACUACAGGAGCUGUCCGGGUGUGCACGUUUGGUUUACUUUGUCUCUUGUUUUGGGAUGGCCCCCUGGGCUUAAAUGCCAAAGUUGGUACAGCACCGGGUCCAUUGUCACCCGUCUCGUCAUCAGUGUUGGGCUAAACACAAGCUGACUGUCAUCUUGGCGUCCUACGUCCUCUAGUCCAUGGAAUUGCAUGUUUAAACGGCCAUGCUUUGAAUCUCGAUUCUACACUGUGGAGAGUUCAAGAUUUCUGCAAACCCCAAGCUGCAUCCAUUGCUGGCUCGUUGCUCAGAUUGCCUGCUUCCAUUAAACUCUCAAUCCACUGCACGUUCCACUUCUACGGUUCUUCUCUUCUCUCCAUCCUUUGUUACCUCACGAGGGAAACACAGCACACACUUCUCUGAUUUCCUCACCAGUGCAGGAAGUUCAUAUGUAACAGGCAUUUAUCAAAGUUUAAGGUAACAUAGGAUGCCAAACAGCACAGCAGAUGAUUUAAGCUAAAACAUGCCUCGUCUUGAACACCCUUGGGGGGACACCUGAGUGGCUCAGUGGGUUGAGCGUCCAACUCUUGAUUUCAUCUUGGGUCAUGAUCUCAGGGUCGUGGGAUCAAGGCCUGUGUCAGGCUCUGCACUCAGCACAGAGUCGGCUUGAGAUUCUCUCUCUCCUUUCCCCUCUGCUCCUCCCGCUGCCCAAGCUCUCUCUCUUUCUCUCUAAAAUAGAUAGAUAGAUAGAUAGAUAGAUAGAUAGAUAGAUAGAUAGAAUCUUAAAAAAAAACUUGGAAAAAAUAGAUACAGUGAAUGUGGUGAAAAGUUGAUAAAGUCUAAAACAAGGUGGUUACAUAGGGUUUAUACCAUUUUUGUGAUUUUUAAGCUCUACAGUUUUCACAAAAGUUUAAAAAAUACACCAAUCCUGAGAUCUUGAAGCUAUUUUGCUAUGUUUGUUAGUUAGGGUGACAGCAAGACUGCCCUACCGGAGUCUCCAAAACACGGGGACUGAUGAUGUAUGUGUUUCUUACAGUCUCAGGUAACAGUCUUGAGGUCGACCCUCUUAACACAUGUUUGAGCGUAUGUUCCAGUAUUGUUAACUGCAAACACUAUGUGGUACAGCAGAUUUCUAGAACGUGUUCACCUUGCACGGCCGAAGGCUGGUACCCGUUGAGCAGCACCUCCUCGCUUCCUCCCCUUCUGCCCCUGAGGACCACCAUUCUGCUCUGAUUCCAGGGCCGGACAAUUUCACACACUUUAUAUAAUGAGAUCAUAAUGAGCUAUCACCUCCCACCUGUUAGGUUGGCUAUUAUCCAAAAAAACAAAAACAAAAACAAAAACAAAAGACAAAAAAAAAAAAAAAAGACAACAAGUGUUGGUGAGGAUGUGGAGGAAAGAGCCUCUGUGUGGUGUUGGUGGGAAGGUCAAACCGGUGCAGCUGUUAUGGGAGACGGUGUGGAAGUUCCUCAACAAAAUAAAAAAUAGAACUACCGUGUAAUUCGGCAAUCCCACUAUCGGGUAUUUACCCAAAAGAACUGGCAUCAGAUCUCAAGGAGACCCGUGCCCUCUCAUGUUCAUUCAGCGCAGCACUAUCUACAACAGCAAAACACAGGGACAACAGAGCGUCCCCAGGGGACGAGUGGAUAAAGCCUCUGUGUAGACUGUUGACCCGCACCUCCUUGGGGACUCCCCAGGGGCCACGUGAGGGCCGGGGACAGGGGGGACAGGGGGACAGAGGGACAGGCCACUUCCACGGUCGGUGGCGGAGUCAGACAAGCACAGGGACUUAGCCCGAGGAUCUCUUGGGGGCUGCAAGGUGAGUAGAUUUCUGCACCCAAGGGAGACCUGGCCAGGCCUUAAAGUAUGUGCAGAGGCUUUUUUUUUUUUUUUUAAUCUUAUUUAUUCAUUCAUGGGAGACCCAGGGAGAGAGAGAGGCCGAGACCCAGGUGGAGGGAGAGGCAGGCGCCCUGUGGGGACCCCAACGCAGACCUUGAUCCUGGGAGCCUGGGGGACCCCUGGGCCGCAGGCAGGUGCCCAAGCCCCGAACGCCCUGGCAGAAUGGCCUGGAAUUGGCACUUGUCACCAGCUGCCAGGUGACACCGAUGGCGCUGGCCCAGGGACCUCACUUUGACAACCCCAGCCAGGACAGGACCGGCUCUUGCCUCGGG
rnacentral:lncRNA from 1 species